rnacentral:tRNA from 1 species
ACCUGGCUGGCUCAGUCAGUGGAGCAUGAGACUUUUGGUCUCAGAAUUGUGAGUUCAAGCCCCAUGUCGGGUA